AAUUCUCUGAGAUGUUUGCCAGUGGGCCAAUCCCCUGAGCCGAUAUUUAUGCUAAUAAGAAUGUGAUGACUCGUUACCUGUGCGCAUGCUCGGUACUAAUGAGAAGCCUGAAGGUUAUGGCGUUACGUUCGCCUUGAACCCUUGGUUCAAGGGUUACCGCCUACAGCGGCAUCUCGCGGAGACCCC
rfam:Candidatus Regiella insecticola LSR1 genomic scaffold Scaffold4, whole genome shotgun sequence.